UUUUCUGCCACCGAAUACAUUAGCAUGGGAUAAUGGAAUAGGACCCUGUCCUCCUAUUUUCAGUUGGUUUUGGCAGCGCGAGGACUAGGGUAAUGAUUAAUAGGGAUAGUUGGGGGCAUUAAUAUUUAAUUGUCAGAGGUGAAAUUCUUGGAUUUAUGAAAGAUUAACUUCUGCGAAAACAUCUGCCAAGGAUGUCUUCAUUACUCAACACCGCCACUUAAGGGAUCCUAGACGAUCAGAUACGGU
rnacentral:rRNA from 1 species